UACGGAGGGGGCGGAGCGUUAUUCGAAUUGUGGCGUAAAGGGCGCGUAGGCGGCUGUACAAGUCAAAGGUGAAAUCCCUCGGCUCAACUGAGGAACUGCCUUUGAAACUGUACGGCUUGAGGCCGGGAGGGGGUGAGCGGAAUUCCCAGUGUAGCGGUGAAAUGCGUAGAUACUGGGAGGAACACCAGUGGCGAAGGCGGCUACCUGGACCGGUUCUGACGCUGAGGCGCGAAAGCGUGGGUAGCAAACAGG
rnacentral:rRNA from 1 species